GUUCCAGGUCCCAACUAGUAGUGACCCAGCCACCUUCACUAACCAGUGCUCCAGGAUCGACAGUUCAGAUCUCUUGUGCAAUGAGCAGUGGCUACAGCAUCAGCAGUCAAAGAGUCCAUUGGUACCAGCAGAAAUCAGGGGGUGCUCCACUGUUUCUCUACCACUAUUACACCAGCAGUGACCAAGGCAGGGGCUCAGGGGUCCCCGAGAGAUUCACCGUGUCCCCUGACACCUCCAGAAACCUCUGGAAUCUAGUCAUCGCAGGAGUUCAAGCUGAAGAUGACGCUGAUUAUUACUGUUGUACUUGGGAUCUAAAGCUCAGCUCGUAUCACAGUGAUUCGUCAUGGGGAACUGAGACGAAAACCUUUCCUGUGUCACACAGUAUUCAUGCAUCAGCAGACAAAUCUGCUUUGCGCUGA